rnacentral:rRNA from 1 species
AGAGUUUGAUCAUGGCUCAGAACGUACGCUGGCGGCACGCCUAACACAUGCAAGUCGAACGAAGUAGCAAUACUUAGUGGCAGACGGGUGAGUAACAUGUAGGUAUCUGCCCUUUGGCCUGGAAUAACACGAGGAAACUUGUGCUAAUACCGGAUAAGUCUUUACGGAGAAAGCUUUAUGCACCAUUGGAUGAGCCUGCACUUGAUUAGUUUGUUGGUGGGGUAAUGGCCUACCAAGACUGUGAUCAAUAGCUGAUUUGAGAGGAUGAUCAGCCACAUUGGGACUGAGNCACGGCCCAAACUCCUACGGGAGGCAGCAGUGGGGAAUCUUGCACAAUGGAGGAAACUCUGAUGCAGCGAUGCCGCGUGAGUGAAGAAGGCCUUUGG